rnacentral:rRNA from 1 species
ACGCUCGACACCAACGGGAGGCAGCAGUGGGGAAUAUUGGGCAAUGGGCGCAAGCCUGACCCAGCAACGCCGCGUGAAGGAAGAAGGCUUUCGGGUUGUAAACUUCUUUUGUUCAGGGAACAGUAGAAGAGGGUACCUGACGAAUAAGCCACGGCUAACUACGUGCCAGCAGCCGAGGUAAUCUGAGCGGGCUGGCAAGGC